ACAUCCUCAUAAGUUCGACAAGAAGAGGAACCAUGAAUCUUAGUAAAUUAAUAACUCCUAUUAAUUUAUUUAUAUGGUGGCACAAAAUCGGAAGCCCCGACUGUUUACUAAAAACACAACUAUCUGCAAUUAUGAAAAUAAUAGUAUAGGUAGUGAGAUUUGCCCAAUGCCAUAUUAAUAAGUAAUAAUAAAUAAUAGGUAACUGUUUCUUUACAAAAAAUUGGUUAAUAGCGGUCUUAAAUAUGAGGAUCCUAAGGUAGCAAAAUAAAUUGGCCAUUAAAUGUGGUCCAGUAUCAAUAAUUUAACGAUGGCUUCACUGUCUCUACAACUUGCUCAGUGAAAUUGAAUACCCGUGCAGAUGCGGUACUCAAGGACGUC
rnacentral:rRNA from 1 species